rnacentral:rRNA from 1 species
CCCUUAGAUGUCCUGGGCCGCACGCGCGUUACACUGAUGCAUUCAACGAGCUUAUAACCUUGGCCGAGAGGCCUGGGCAAUCUUGUUAACGUGCAUCGUGAUAGGGAUAGAUUAUUGAAAUUAUUAAUCUUGAACGAGGAAUUCCUAGUAAACGCAGAUCAUCAAUCUGCAUUGAUUACGUCCCUGCCCUUUGUACACACCGCCCGUCGCUGCCAUCGGUGGACGGCCGAGCCAGGGCUUUGGACUGCGAGCGCCUGCCCUUCGUCUUCGGACGGGGAGUCGUUGCCCGCGGAAAAUCGUCCGAACUCGGUCGCCCCGAGAUAGCAAAAGUCGUAACA